UACGAAGGGGGCUAGCGUUACUCGGAUUGACUGGGCGUAAAGGGCGCGUAGGCGGUUUGUACAGUCAGACGUGAAAUUCCUGGGCUCAACCUGGGGGCUGCGUUUGAUACGUGCAGACUUGAGUUCGGAAGAGGGUCGUGGAAUUCCCAGUGUAGAGGUGAAAUUCGUAGAUAUUGGGAAGAACACCAGCGGCGAAGGCGGCCACCUGGACGGAUACUGACGCUGAGACGCGAAAGCGUGGGGAGCAAACAGG
rnacentral:rRNA from 1 species